AGCUCAUUAUCUCUAACGAACACAUACUUACUGAUGAUAAGAACGACCUGCGUUGCUCUGAUAUCACACACACACACACACUCACACACACACACACACACACACACACAGUCAGUAGUCGACUGAUCGCCUGUAUGAUGGCUGGAAGCCUCCGUUUCCUCCUCCUGUCACUCUGUGUUUUGUUGGAACCUGUGACAGAAAUCGGUGGUUUGCUUCUGAAACCAGUUCUGUCUGGACCCAGUGAGGCCUAUGUGAGAUCAGAAGUCCAGUUUGACUGUGCAGUUCCAGGCUGGUCUUCACCUCUGACCUAUGAACUCUGGAAGGAUGCAGGGGACAUUAUUGCAGCAGAAAACAACGUCAAGGUCACCUUCACCCUACAGGUCACCGAGGGGUCAGAGGGCGAGUACUACUGCAGACUGACUGCCGGAGGUCAGACCAGCAACUCCAUCCACUUCCAUGCAGUGAUUCCUGUCGUAGGGGCCCGUCUGAG
rnacentral:lncRNA from 1 species